GUAGGUGAACCUGCGGAAGGAUCAUUAACAAAUCAUUGUGCUGUUUGGCUGGUGUCAAAGCCAGUCAUCCUAGCAACAUUAACCCGAACCUGUGCAGCAAUGCCAGGCUAGGUGUGGGAUGUGGGUGGGUGAGGUCUUUAAACGCCUCUCUUGCUGCUCCCGCGGUGACGGAUGAGGCCAUGUGCUUUGUCUCGAUCCACAUAUACGCUUUUUUUGUUUGACAGUAUCAGUGACACAUUUUAAAAUGACAACUUUUAACAAUGGAUCUCUUGGCUCUU
rnacentral:misc_RNA from 1 species